CCGACAGGUGAACGGCGACAUCAUUUAAAAACAUGGUUAAUUUGAACUUAACAGAAGGUAUUGACGAUGAAACAAUGGAGCCUGAGAAGCUGCGGAUGGGUGUCGUUCACACGGGAAUAGUUAUCCAGCUCUUACAUGUCGACCGUGAUAUCACUGUCACCCGGCGGAUUGUCUGAAGAUGUUUGACACAGUCUCGAAGCAGUCCUUGCUCGUCCGUCCUUUUUCCCCCCCACACACUUGAUAGCAGCUCACCGGCGUCCACACGGAUCUAUCACGGCAGCGAAAACGCAGUUUGGAGGCUGCCGGUGAUGCCGCUGCAGCAGCGUUUGGUCUGUCGAGACGCGGGAUGAGGGAGGUGGGGGACUUUGUGUUGGUGUUGGUGGGGGUGGGGGCAUCCGAGGGCCCACGACGAAACACUCAGCUCCGAGAAAUGUACUCAUCGGUGCCGAAAUCACGGUCUCAUGAGCAAACGGUGGUUGAUGAAUCAUUAUGCGCACAGAGUGUGUGUUUUAUUGAGGAGUGACGCUGUGU